AUGGUAACACCAGCACCGCCGGGGGGCUGGGACUUCUCCCCCGGUGAUGCAAUUCGAGAGGAAGUUCGUCUUCAAUUUCGUUCUCCAGUGCAUUUCUCUUCGAAGUUCUGCCCUACACACUUCCGGUUAGCCCCUCUCCAGGAGAGAAGAUCGGUUUUCAUGAGACUUCAAGGGUUGAAGGUUCCUAUCGCCGGUGAAACUCCGGCGACCAAGACGGUGGAGCCAAUCAUGGAGGAAGAUCCUAUUUCUGCACGUAACUUGAAUUCAAAUUUCAUGCUUUCCUGUACGCGUUGUUUGGAUAAGGGCCAUAUUGCUUCUGAUUGCUCUGAGCCUGUUCGGUGCCAUUCUUGCCUGGAGGCUGGUCAUAUGGCCCAUUUCUGUGCCACUAGGCCUGCUUACCGUCACUCUUCGGCAGUUGGUAUGUUCCAGCUUCGUUCGGUCAUGCAUAGAGAUGCGUUAGUAAACUCUCCCCCUGCUGCGUAUGAUGGGAUGCAUACUGUUGAGUUUGUGAAGCAUGACCAAGGGCCGAACUGGCAUGCUUGCCACUUUAAUCAAGAAGGCUGGUUUCUUCUCUUGGAUUUCCCACUAGAUUUUGUUGAUCGUCACCAUAUAAAUCUAGCAGUAGCUUCUUUUGGACAACUUUCUUUCUGGCUUGAUAGGGACCAGAUGUUGGGCAGAGAUCCUUUGGGUAAUGGUGGUGGAGGUGAAUCAUGGACUAUUUCUAUUUUUGUACUAGAUGGGGAUUUUGCUGACAUUCCACCUGAAGAGGAUUUACCUCCUGCUGGACUGCAGCCUGGGCCUAAUGAGGAUAAUGCUGAUGACCCAGAUGAUGGAAAUAUUUGGCAACUGGGACAUCCUGGUAAUCAGGGGGGAGGGGGUGCUUGGGAUGAUCUCGUGCAACAGCAACAGGCGGCGGAAGCAGAAAUAGAGGAUGCUUGGGGUCAGGAUCACCCUGGGCCAGUGCAGCUGUUUCUGGCCAGGCUCAAGGAUAUAGCUGACAGCGAAGGACCUAAGCACCCCUCUUUUUAUCCUAUGGCAGGAUUGCUGGAGAAAAUUGACCAUCUGUGCAAAGCUAAGGAAAUCAAGCAGGCAGCUCAAAUUCCUAGCCCCACAUCUCUGCCAUACAAUUCUCCUUUCAUGACCCUAGUACUCCCAAAGAGGAAGGCAAUGUUUGAUCAUGCUCCUCCUGCAAUGAGCACAUUUGUCACGUCCUGAUAAAUUCAUC
rnacentral:lncRNA from 1 species